GAUGAACGCUGGCGGCGUGCCUAACACAUGCAAGUCGAACGGAGAUUACGGACGGAAGUUUUCGGAUGGAAGACUGUAAUUCUUAGUGGCGGACGGGUGAGUAACGCGUGGGCAACCUGCCCUAUACAGGGGGAUAGCAGCUGGAAACGGCUGGUAAGACCGCAUAAGUCGGCGAGACCGCAUGGUUUUGCCGGGAAAUGAGCAAUCAGGUAUAGGAUGGGCCCGCGUCCGAUUAGCCAGUCGGCAGGGUAAAAGCCUACCAAAGCAACGAUCGGUAGCCGGGCUGAGAGGUCGGACGGCCACAUUGGGACUGAGACACGGCCCAAACUCCUACGGGAGGCAGCAGUGGGGGAUAUUGCACAAUGGAGGAAACUCUGAUGCAGCGACGCCGCGUGAGUGAAGAAGUAUUUCGGUAUGUAAAGCUCUAUCAGCAGGGAAGAUGAUGACGGUACCUGACUAAGAAGCCCCGGCUAACUACGUG
rnacentral:rRNA from 1 species